AACGUCGCUGCUGUUUUGGUUUGCGACAGUUCAAAGCAGCUCAAACGCUUGGCGGACGAUGGGAGUCAAUGCUCUCGUGGAAGUCGUAAGGGGGGGCCACGACACGCACCCGCCACCAUUGAAAGUCCGUCAAAUGAGGCGCGGCGCUUGUUGAAGGCCGUCCCUGACACUUCUGGUCCUCAAAGUUCGAAAAGAAUUCCAUCUAUUUUCAUAUCCCAAAAACCGUCGCAUGGGAACAAACCGCGUGUGACUUGCUAGCAUUAGCCGCACUAAAACCACAGGGAUGCUACGCUAGCUUAGCUUCCGCCCGCUUGUUUCCUUCGCUAAUUUGACACUUGCGGUUUUGGCUCCGCGGUUGGCGUUCAUUGGUCGUCCCGGUCGCUGUCCUGCAUGCUGACCCCAUCCAGGCCGCCUCCCGCCUUGACGGCCAGCGUG